rnacentral:lncRNA from 1 species
GAAGGGUUUAAAACCCAUCGGGUUUAGCAUAUAGCCCUCAGGUAGAGCAUGGAGAUGGCGCUCAGCUCCGUGGGCACGCAGCAGGCCUUGGGGAUGCUGGAGUUGACGGAGUUGACCAACGUCUGCACGAUGGCGUGGUUGGUGGAGUUGAGGUGGUCGGCCAGAGGGAAGGGGCAGUCCCCGUGGCAGUAAAACGCCUGGUAGCCCGGGGGGGCCACGAUCCAAUCGUUCCAACCCACGUCGCUGAAAUCCACAUAGAGAGCGUGGCGGCGGCAGUUUUUUUUGUUCUUGCGGGAACGCUGGUGCUUGGGGCUGCGGCGGGCCCUGCGGGUCAGCGCGUGGCCUCGCCCGUCGUGCCCGAAGGUGACCAGGAGCGGCCUGAGCUGCGCCCAGUCCCCGCCGUACCCCUGAGGUAAAGAUCGGCUAAUCCUGACGUGUUUGCCCUGAUGAGUCUGUGCCUGGUGGAGGUGGGUCACCUCGAUCACCAGCCCGUGGUUGGGCUGCUUGUCCUUGGUCCACCGGAUCACGGCUGGGCUCACAUCAAAGGUCUCCCAGCGCGUCACGUUGUGGUGCACCAACCGCGUGUCCAACAGGCGCGUAAUGGCCUGCGAGCGCUCCGACAGCGGCUUCAUCACUUCGUAAAUGUUUAUCCGGUGGAAGCCCCUCUCCCACGCCGCGCUCGGCUCCUCCACCUGCUCCCGGUACAGCCGCAGCUCCGCCGACGAGAUCACCUCGUUGUCCGGCACGCUGCUGAGGUUGAAGACGAAGCGGAUCCGCGGCACUUCGCUGGGACCCGGCACGCUCUCCAGGUGCUCUGAGUGGGCGCGGGGAAGGGGGAAAGCGGGACAAAGGGACAAAACGGGAGUGCAUCGUCAGCCUCGGGGCACGCAGCCACAGCCCCGGCGCCGUUCCAGCCCGCCUUCACCUGCCUGGCUCCAUUUCCCCCCGCAUCGCAGCCGGUGCCGGAGCGGUCCCGGUGCCGUGCACUCUCCCUCCGCGCUCUGACCCUUUCCUUCCGCCUCUCCCCCACUUUGGAGGAGAUUUUCCCCCUCUGCUCCCCCCCCCAACCCCCCUCCCCCGGGUCUCCAGAGCAGCGGGGAGCACAGAGCUGCCUUGUUACGGGGCGCAGGGGGAUUUUUUUUUUCCUUAAGAGCAAAACCAGGCAGCGAUCGUUGGGAAGUUGAAAGGAAACGCUCCGGGGGUGGGCGACCUCCCGCCCUCCUUCACUCCCGCAGCGGAUGCACGAAGCCCACGCGAGCCCGGGAGCGACCCCGCGGCACGGGGACCGGCGGACGGCGUCGUCGAAGCGCUCCAACACCUCGGAACAGCCGCGGGAUGCGGGGACAGCAGCGGGACAGCCCGGCAGACGCUGUCACCCGCGCACCGCGCGCGUCGGGAGCGUUUUUCCUCCCGUAAAAAGCAAGAGGCGGGCACGACCCGCUCCCAAACGCAUUGGUGAGCCGCCGAGCGCUCCCGGCGCUGGGAAUUUCCCUCCUCCCAUCACUGACCUUCAUGGUGGAAGCUCCUCACGGUGUUGGCCCGGCUGGUCGAUCGCUCCGGGUACUGCAGGCUGAUCUCCUGGAGGCUCUCCUCCUCUUCUCCGGACUGGAGCCGGUAGAGAUCCAGCAUGUAACUGGGGAUGACGGCUGAUUUGCUGGGCUGGGGCCGCCUUCGCAGCCCAAACAUCUGCAGCAGAGUCGUUUCGAAACCCCGCAAGAGUUCAUGGCUUUGGGCAGAGCGGCGUCCGGAUCCGGCUUGUCCCUGAAGCUCUGCGACUUUCUUCCUGCCGGUCUCGGGGAUCAGGCUAGCAUGGUUGGUACCUCCCAGCAGGACUUGGCAUAGUAGGAUGACCAUCAGCAUUCGGUUACCAGGAAUCAUGGUGUCUCUGGGGUGUAAAAAACGCAACAACAAACGACAAGGAAAGUCAGGAUGAGAAGCGAGCCCCCCCCCGCCCCCCUCCUCUCCUCCUCCUCUUCCGAAGAAAGUUGAAAAAUACAAAAAAAUACAUGGCAAAGCGCGAUGAGAAGGAGCCGGCGGGGACAGGCGGCUCCCGGGGCAUCGCGGCCGCCGCGGGGCUGCGGGAAGGGGCGCGCGGCGCGGCGGGGCGCGGGGCUGCGGGUUCGAAUCCCGCUGCGGGACGCGGAGACAAAAAUAAAGUUAAAAAAGAAAAAAAAAAAAAAGAGAAAGAAAAAUUAAAAAAAAAAAGUAAAAUAACUAAAAAUAAUAAUAGUAAUAAAGGAUCGGCAUAAAAAAAUAAAAAUUAAAAAAAAAAGCCAAGGCGAGGAAGAAGAGGGCUGUACUCACUGACAGCAAGCAAGGCAUAUCAGCACAGUCCAUGAUUCUGGAGAGCCAGCGCGGACCCAGCGCGCCGAAAGCCUCCGGGGCAGCGGCUGCCGAGCGCCUCCCGCGAUCGCCGCCCGGGCGCAGUGCGACCGCCGCCGCCGCCGGCCCCCGUUUUCUCCCGGCCCCGCAGUCACGUGGAGCCGCUCAACCCCCCCCC